UCUGAACACUAUAUAUAUGUAAUCUGACAUUUAUUUAUUUUUAUUUUUUUUUUUUACAGAAAUUCUGAGCUGCUGCAUGAACAUUCAUCAAACAUAUAAGGUCAAGGGGACUGAAGAGGUGGCUCCAGCAGAUCAGAAGAGAGGACUUCAGGAGGCAGACACACUCUUAAUCAGCUGAUCCAGCCGUAUCCAGAUCAGACGGUGGACCUGCACCAGGAGCGACCACAACACAUCCCUGACUGUCAGCGGAGACCGUGUCAGCUAGAUGACAGAUCCCUGUGAAGACCUCACUGAUGACCCCAGCACAGAUCCUCAGCAAAGACUACGAGAACCAGACCCUCUGCACAGACCCUCUCUACCAGCUUCUCACUGACAACAGUAACGCCGCUCGCAUCAUUCACAGUCGGGUUAUUAUCAGAGAACAGAGCAGAACUUGAAUUUCAGCGCGAGACUGCGGCUAUUAAUAAUCAUUCUACUCGU